rnacentral:rRNA from 1 species
CCUACGGGAGGCAGCAGUGAGGAAUAUUGGUCAAUGGACGAGAGUCUGAACCAGCCAAGUAGCGUGAAGGAUGACUGCCCUAUGGGUUGUAAACUUCUUUUAUAUGGGAAUAAAACGUUCCACGUGUGGGAUUUUGUAUGUACCAUAUGAAUAAGGAUCGGCUAACUCCGUGCCAGCAGCCGCGGUAAUACGGAGGAUCCGAGCGUUAUCCGGAUUUAUUGGGUUUAAAGGGAGCGUAGGUGGAUGGUUAAGUCAGUUGUGAAAGUUUGCGGCUCAACCGUAAAAUUGCAGUUGAAACUGGCAGUCUUGAGUACAGUAGAGGUGGGCGGAAUUCGUGGUGUAGCGGUGAAAUGCUUAGAUAUCACGAAGAACUCCGAUUGCGAAGGCAGUUCACUGGACUGCAACUGACACUGAGGCUCGAAAGUGUGGGUAUCAAACAGGAUUAGAUACCCCAGUAGUC